GGGGAUUUAGCUCAGUGGUAGAGCAACUGCCUAGGAAGCGCAAGGCCCUGGGUUCGGUCCCCAGCUCCG
rfam:Rattus norvegicus chromosome 13, whole genome shotgun sequence.